GCAUAUUUACCAGUAGUUGAUCGGUUCGCGUAUUGGACGUAUCGUGAUUUAUUUUUGUGCCUUUUAUUGGGAAGAAUUCUUCAAAUCGAACUAUGGAAAAUUUGGAACCCCUAAGGUUUCAGGUUUUCGGCAAGCCCAUAUAUGAGAAGAUAAUUUUCACAGUAAGAAUGAAGUCAAUCGGACAUCGAGACGCUUGUUCAGAAGAGUUUUCGAAUACUUAUUUCACUCGUACAGAGCCGAGGCAAUUGGCAACUACGGCGACGUAGCUGAAGGCAGCAAACAGAUAACAUAAAGACCCAUACCAAGCCAGGACUCAGAACUCCGGCAGUGCUAGAUAUGUACAUUGACCACUACUCCACCGAGUCAGCUACACCAAUGGUUCUUGAACUCGAAUGAAGAGAUUUCCCGUGGUUUCACGAGCUUCUGUGUCCUGCUACCAACUUCGGAGAAUCCAUUAUAUCUGAGAACGUGAUUGACUUCACCUGCAGCAAGAAUUGGAAGCCAUUAUGUGUUGCUGAAUUGGACAGUAUUAAUUAGAUGGAUCAUACACCUUAUUUACGUCCAGUUGCAGGAAAGUCUAUAAAAAUUUAAUACUUCAUUAAAAUCUUAAUCCUCCAUUUUCCCCUUCAAAAAUGACAGUUUCAAAUUUUGAUGGGACAUCAAAUCUUAAUGGACUUUCUUGCAACUGGACGUUAGAUAGCUAAUACUUGUAUUAUAAUUUUAUUAGUUAUUCAAAUUUUAUAAAUUUUAUGGAGUUAAUGAAUUUUGUAUUUGAGAUUUUUUGCUUUAAAUCCGUUCGAUGUAACCCUAUUUUUCAACUUUUUUUUGCAUUUGAGAUUUGUUCUGGUUUAACAUUUCUAUCUGUUUGUUAAUAAUUAAAUUCUGAGAGUAAAAA